GACGAACGCUGGCGGCGUGCUUAACACAUGCAAGUCGAACGGAAAGGCCCUGCUUUUGUGGGGUGCUCGAGUGGCGAACGGGUGAGUAACACGUGAGUAACCUGCCCUUGACUUUGGGAUAACUUCAGGAAACUGGGGCUAAUACCGGAUAGGAGCUCCUGCUGCAUGGUGGGGGUUGGAAAGUUUCGGCGGUUGGGGAUGGACUCGCGGCUUAUCAGCUUGUUGGUGGGGUAGUGGCUUACCAAGGCUUUGACGGGUAGCCGGCCUGAGAGGGUGACCGGGCACAUUGGGACUGAGAUACGGCCCAGACUCCUACGGGAGGCAGUAGUGGGGAAUAUUGCACAAUGGGCGGAAGCCUGAUGCAGCAACGCCGCGUGCGGGAUGACGGCCUUCGGGUUGUAAACCGCUUUCGCCUGUGACGAAGCGUGAGUGACGGUAAUGGGUAAAGAAGCACCGGCUAACUACGUG
rnacentral:rRNA from 1 species